UACGGAGGGUGCGGGCGUUGUCCGGAAUCACUGGGCGUAAAGGGCGCGUAGGCGGUCUGUUAAGCGUGUGGUGAAAGCUCGGGGCUCAACCCCGAGUCUGCCAUGCGAACUGGUGGACUUGAGCACUGUAGAGGCAGGUGGAAUUCCGGGUGUAGCGGUGGAAUGCGUAGAGAUCCGGAAGAACACCGGUGGCGAAGGCGGCCUGCUGGGCAGUUGCUGACGCUGAGGCGCGACAGCGUGGGGAGCAAACAGG
rnacentral:rRNA from 1 species